GGCAAUCCUGAUUCCAGCCGUGCUGAAACUAUUCCCAACGCCAGCCAGGAAGUUCCUUCUUUCGGCGUGCUCUGCCGCUCAGCAAACCCAGACUUGCCUUAAGCAGGCACCGGGUCUCUAUGUAUCUCUGAGCCCUGGAAGAGGCUGUGUGAGUCUGUGUGCCUGGCCACAUCGCUGGAUUGAGGAGGCCCCUCUGUGGCCUGCGGUGGAGUUGACCCACCUGGGGAAAUUCAGUUGUGACAUCGGCUCUGCCUAAUUUCCCUCACCAAAUCCACAGUAGUUCCAAGAGGCGACAAUGAGACACGUGGGAUUGGGGCGGGUGGGUGUCACAGAACUGAAGCGAUUAACUGGAGCAAGAUGUGCAUUGUUGUGGGGGCGGGGUUACAACUGAAACAAGCCCCUUGUACUACAAAAAAAGUCAAAGAUCAUUGCAGCCGUCAGUCGCCACAAGAACACUGCCACGCUGUCGUCCUGGGCCACGCUGAAAGGCCACCAUAACAGAACAGCUGUCUAAGGUCUGCCAAGCUGAAACACCGCAAGCUGUAGCUCCGGCUCACAGGUCUACUACCAAGCCCCAUGUCCAGCUGAAGUCCCUGUUCGCUCUGGCUGUUGGCCCUACCUGGAGUGGCUCCUCCAGCCUCGAUCAUAGAAUCUUUAUAGAACAGCAAUAGAUCACAGGUCUUCUAAAUCCUUCCCUAUGUGACACCAAUGACAGCGGUGACCUCCAAAAUAACUCCAACUGUUCAUCGCCCCUAAUGAACGUCUCGGGGAGCUCGUUGUUGGCAUGCCUAGCUUCUCAGGCUAACAGACAAUCUUGUGGAAAGCCGGAAGCUAGCUGUGUCUCCUAGACAUAACCAACAGGCUCAGAGAUAAUUGGGUCAAUUAGUGAUAAAAAUCAGCUCAGCAGCUUCCCCAAUGGUGCAGAGAACACAGACAUGUGUGCCCCUGUUCUAGGACUCCUCACCCACCGACACACCUGGCAUCUCUGAGCCACUCAAGCACAGGCCGAGUGUGUGGCCUUCAGCUCGGUAGUCUUCCCCUGCUCCUGAUGGAUACUUGAUCCCUCAUUCACGAGACAAUCCGUCCUGUCUUUGGGAAUGUCCCACUUCCUUCUCAGUAUGCCCUGAAUAUCUGCUUUCCUGGACUCUCAUGUUUGUGUGGAAUUUCUAGGGGGAUACAAUGAUGUGUGUGAAAAUAUAAGAGACACUCACGUGUGUUACUGCUAUA